rnacentral:rRNA from 1 species
AAAUUGAAGAGUUUGAUCAUGGCUCAGAUUGAACGCUGGCGGCAGGCCUAACACAUGCAAGUCGAACGGUAACAGAAAGCAGCUUGCUGCUUUGCUGACGAGUGGCGGACGGGUGAGUAAUGUCUGGGAAACUGCCUGAUGGAGGGGGAUAACUACUGGAAACGGUAGCUAAUACCGCAUAACGUCGCAAGACCAAAGAGGGG